rnacentral:lncRNA from 1 species
UCCGCACGCGUGCCGGAUUGUGAGGACCCGUUCGACUACGUCAGUUCGUCUGCUUCACGGAGGCAUUCUUCUUCCAAGCGGGAUCUCAGGCNNNNNNNNNNUCAGAUGCUCAUGCAUCAUUUGUGUUGUGCAUCGUGUGGUGAAUUCUGUGUGUUGAUUUGCGUUUCCGGUUUGCUUCGUCUCGAUAGAGUUCCGCAACGUGCCGGAUUGUGAGGACCCGUUCGACUACGUCGGUUCGUUUGCUUCACGGAAGCAUUCUUCUUCCAAGCGGGAUCUCAGGCAAGAUGAUCAUUUCCCCAGAUACCAUUACUAUCAUUGCCAUGCUAGUUUCACCAUCUCUAUCGUUAUGUCUCGUUGCCUACCACAUGUUAAAUAUCAGCCUCUCAACAAUGCCAUGAAACCUUCAACCUGUUCGACCUAGCAAACCACUGAUUGGCUAUGUUACUGCUUGCUUAACCCUGUUGAUAGCGUUGCUAGUUGCAGNNNNNNNNNNAUCGCUUCUAUUGUUUAUGUCUCGUUGCCUACCACCUGUUAAAUUCAGCCUCUCAACAAUGCCAUGAAAACAUUCAACCUGUUCAACCUAGCAAACCACUGAUUGACUAUGUUACUGCUUGCUUAACCCUGUUGAUAGCCUUGCUAGUUGCAGGUGCAGAUGCUUCCAUGUGAAAGCAUGGGUUCCUUGAUAUAUCACCAUAUUAAAUGCUAUCUAAUUUAAUGCACCUAUAUACUUGGUAAAAGGUGGAAGGCUCGGCCUUUCUAGCCUGGUGUUUUGUUCCACCUUUGCCCCCUUAGUUUCCGGCUACCGAUGUUAUGUUCCAUAUUUGAGCGCUCCUAACACAAUCGGGGUUGUUAUGGGGACCCCCUUGAUAAUUCGUUUUUGAUUAAGACUGGUCUGGCAAGGCCCAACUUUGGUACUAAAUUUGCCUAAACACCUAAUAAAAUUGCAUAGGGACUUUCCGGACCCCGAGGAUAAUUUAAUCAACCCCCGGGCCAGUGCUCCUCAUGAGUGUUGGUCCAAAUUGGCAGACUACGGGGCCACCGCGGGGCAACCCGAGGUUUGGUAUCUCCUAGUGUGACCCAUCCGUCGUGUCCUGAGAACGAGGUACGCGACUCCUAUCGGGAUCGUCGACACGUCGGGCGGCCUUGCUGGAUUAGUUUUAUCUUUGACGAGAUAUGUUGUGCAUCGGGAUUCCGGUGAUGCUUUGGGUAAUCUCAGAGUUGAGGUUUUCCACUAGGGAAUCCGACGAGAUCGCGAGCUUCGUGAUUGAGGAUUUCUAUGCGGCUUGUGGUAAUUUGUGAUGGACUAGUUGGAGCACCCCUGCAGGGUUAAAUCUUUCGGAAAGCCGUGCCCGCGGUUAUGUGGAAACGUGGAAACUUUGUUUAACACUGGUUCUAGAUAACUUGAAGUAAACUUAAUUAAAAUAUGCCAACUGUGUGGGUAACCGUGACUGUCUCUUUCGUGAGUUCCUUCUCCGAUCGAGGACACGGUGGGGUUAUGCCUGACGUAGGUAGGUGCUCAGGAUUAUUCAUUUGAUCAUCAGUAGUUCACGUCCGCUAUGCGUAGAUGUUCCCCCUCUUAUUUCUUGUACUCGUAAGUUAGCCNNNNNNNNNNACUCUGGAUCAUUCAUUUGAUCAUCAGUAGUUCACGUCCACUAUGCGUAGAUGUUCCCCCUCUUAUUUCUUGUACUCGUAAGUUAGCCACCAGAUAUAUGCUUAGCCGCUGCUGCAACCUCACCACUUAACCAUACCUCACCCAUUAAGCUUUGCUAGUCUUGAUACCUUUGGAAAUGAGAUUGCUGAGUCCCCUAUGGCUCACAGAUUACUACAACACCACUUGCAGGUACAGGUAAAGGUUACUCGACGCGAGCGCGUUGAUUGUUCAUUUGGAGUUGCCUCUUCUUCUUCUUCUUCUUCAUCGAUCUAGGAUGGGUUCCAGGCCGGCAGCCUGGGAUAGCAAGAAUGGACGUCGUUCUUCUUUUGUCGUUUUUUUUCGUCUGUAGUCAGACCCUGCUCUUACUCUUGAUGAUUAUGUAAUGUACUGAUGUGUCUCUGAUGUAGCUUGUGGCGAGUGUAAGCCAAUUCUAUAUAUNNNNNNNNNNGUUUUCGUCCGUAGUUGGACCCUGCUCUUACUCUUGAUGAUUAUGUAAUGUACUAAUGUGUCUCUGAUGUAGCUUGUGGCGAGUGUAAGCCAAUUCUAUAUAUCUCUUCUUUUCAGUACAUGUACUUGUAACGAUAUCCAUUCUUGCGACACGACGAGAUGCGCUUCUAUCACUGACGAGGCCCUCGUGCCAAAUUGAGGAUAGGGUCGCAUCUUGGGCGUGACAACCAUGCUGGAGAUAGAACUUCCCAUAAGGUAUUGCAAUCAGGUUUCUAUUGGCCCACUCUCUUCAAGGAUGCUCGUAAGUUUGUCUUGUCUUGUGACGAAUGCCAAAGGAUAGGGAACAUCUGUAAGCGUCAGGAAAUGCCUAUGAACUAUUCACUUGUCAUUGAACUAUUUGAUGUCUGGGGCUUAGAUUAUAUGGGACCCUUCCCGAGUUCCAAUGGGUACACUCACAUCUUAGUUGCUGUGGAUUACGUUACUAAGUGGGUAGAAGCUAUCCCCACUAAAAACACUGAUCACCACACCUCUAUUAAGAUGCUUAAAGAAGUCAUAUUCCCAAGAAUUGGAGUCCCUAGAUAUUUGAUGACUCAUGUGUUGGGGAACGUCGCAUGGGAAACAAAAAAUUUCCUACGCGCACGAAGACCUAUCAUGGUGAUGUCCAUCUACGAGAGGGGAUGAGUGAUCUAUGUACCCUUGUAGACCGUACAGCAGAAGCGUUAGUGAACACGGUUGAUGUAGUGGAACGUCCUCACGUCCCUCGAUCCGCCCCGCGAACAAUCCCGCGAUCAGUCUCACGAUCUAGUACCGAACGGACGGCACCUCCUCGUUCAGCACACGUACAGCUCGACGAUGAUCUCGGCCUUCUUGAUCCAGCAAGAGAGACGGAGAGGUAGAAGAGUUCUCCGGUAGCAUGACAACGCUCCGGAGGUUGGUGAUGAUCUCGUCUCAGCAGGGCUCCGCCCGAGCUCCGCAGAAACGCGAUCUAGAGGACAAACCGUGGAGGUAUGUGGUCGGGCUGCCGUGGAAAAGUCGUCUCAAAUCAGCCCUAAAACCUCCGUAUAUAUAGGUCGGACAGGGGGGGCCUUGCCUUGGGGCUCAAGGAGCCCCAAGGGGGUCGGCCGAGCCAAGGGGCGGAAGGUCUCCCCCCCCCCAAACCGAGUUGGACUUGGUUUGGUGGGUGGGAGUCCUUCCUUCCCUUCCCACCUCCUCCUUUUUUUCUCUUUGAUUUUUCUUCCAAUGCGCAUAGGGCCCUUUUGGGCUGUCCCACCAGCCCACUAAGGGCUGGUGCGCCACCCUCAAGGCCUAUGGGCUUCCCCGGGGUGGGUUGCCCCCCCCCCCCNNNNNNNNNNNNNNNNNNNNNNNNNNNNNNNNNNNNNNNNNNNNNNNNNNNNNNNNNNNNNNNNNNNNNNNNNNNNNNNNNNNNNNNNNNNNNNNNNNNNGGGGGGGGGGCAACCCACCCCGGGGAAGCCCAUAGGCCAUGAGGGUGGCGCACCAGCCCUCAGUGGGCUGGCGGGGCUGCCCAAAAGGGCCCUAUGCGCCUAAGAAAGAAAAUCAAAGAGAAAAAAAAGAGGAGGUAGGAAGCGAAGGAAGGACUCCCACCCACCAAACCAAGACCAACUCGGUUUGGGGGGGGGGGAGCCUUCCCCCUUGGACUCGGCCGAUCCCCUUGGGGAUCCUUGAGCCCCAAGGCAAGGUCCCCUCCCUCCCACCUAUAUAUACGGAGGUUUUAGGGCUGAUUUGAGACGACUUUUCCACGGCAGCCCGACCACAUACCUCCACGGUUUUUCCUCUAGAUCGCGUUUCUGCGGAGCUCGGGCGGAGCCCUGCUGACAAAGGUCAUCACCAACCUCCGUAGCACCAUCACGCUGCCAGAGAACUCUUCUACCUCUCCAUCUCUCUUGCUGGAUCAAGAAGGCCAAGAUCAUCGUCGAGCUGUACGUGUGCUGAACGCGGAGGUGCCGUCCGUUCGGUACUAGAUCGUGAGACUGAUCGCGGGAUUGUUCGCGGGGCGGAUCGAGGGACGUGAGGACGUUCCACUACAUCAACCGCAUUCACUAACGCUUCUGCUGUACGGUCUACAAGGGUAUGUAGAUCACUCAUCCCCUCUCGUAGAUGGACAUCACCAUGAUAGGUCUNNNNNNNNNNNNNNNNNNNNNNNNNNNNNNNNNNNNNNNNNNNNNNNNNNNNNNNNNNNNNNNNNNNNNNNNNNNNNNNNNNNNNNNNNNNNNNNNNNNNAUUACUCUGUUCUUAUGGACUUAAUACACCAGAUGCAUGCUGGAUAGCGGUCGACAUCUGGAGUAAUAGUAGUAGAUGCAGAAAGUAUCAGUCUACUUGUUUUGGACAUGAUGCCUAUAGAAACAAUCAUUGCAUAGAUAUUGUCACGACUUUGCGCGGUUCUAUCAAUUGCUCGACAGUAAUUUGUUCACCCACCGUCUACUUGCUUUCAUGAGAGAAGCCACUAGUAAACACUACGGCCCCCGGGUCUAUUCACAUCCAUCGUUUACAUCUCCGCUUUUACUUUGCUUUGUUACUUUAUUGCUUUCAGUUCGCACUUGGCAAACAAUCUAUAAGGGAUUGACAACCCCUUCGUAGCGUUGGGAACAUGCUUUUGUGUUUGUGCGGGAUCUUGUGAUACUCAUCCACCGGAUUGAUACCUUGGUUCUCAAACUGAGGGAAAUACUUACCACCGCUGUGCUACAUUACCCUUUCCGCUUCGAGGGAACACCAAUGCAAGGCUCCAAGGCCACGACGGAAAUCCUUUGCAUACUUGCCUAGGAAGUCCCUUAAGGCGUAGCCGCAGCUGAAGGAUUCCUGGUGCCGUUGACACGACUAUUCUUGGCGCUGUUGCAAGGGAAGUACGGCUGACAUCAGACUCGCAUCGAUCAAUCCACAAGUAGGGCGCUAACCGCCGAAUGUGGGAAAAUCGCGCUUGGGCGGCUUGACCGUGUAGGUGUCCCGCGCCUCCUCCUGGUACGCCUCUUGUUGAGCUCGCAGUUACGCCACCCCGUAGAGCGAUGUGGCCGGGCGCGUCCCGAUGAGCGGUGGCCCGAUGUUGGCCAGACGCGCAAACGGCUGCUCCGGAGGGGGAACUGCGACGGAUGCUUGCGGUUGGUGGGGCGGGGGCGGUGGCGCGGUCGAUUUCUGCUGGUCGCGUUGGUGGUGCACCUCGUCGACGUUAGUUGGGGUGAGAUCCACCUGCCUGCACAGAUGGGCGAGGUCGCUGGAGACCUGCUCGUUGAAGGCGAGCUGCGCCUCGAUGUGCCUGUUGACGGUUCGUUGACCCGCGUCCACCUGCUUGAUCAGCGACUCGAGCAGGGACUUGAUGUCCCCGGUGGAUUCGGCCAUGGCGUGGAGGAUCUGACGGGUCUGGGCAGAAGCCUUGGUCGGGGGCGUCGUUGCCUCGCUCCAAACCAGAUCAACCCCGCUCAGGAUUUCGCGUCGGCUACUGAGGUGAACGUGCACCCGCAGCGGUGGAUUUUACGAUCCGAUCGGGAGGAUGAGAGGGCAGCGAGUCGGGCGGAUCGGGGAAACAUAUCUGGCUCUGAGUACUAGUUUGUAAUGACCCAGGGAUCUAGGAUUGGUACAUGAGGGAAUUGGGGAUGAGUUCAGCUUGCUUUAUUUCAGAGGUAGGUGAGGAUACAGGAAAGUUAGGUGAGGGAAGAGGUAGAAGGAGAGGAAUGAGAGUCUCGUACAUUACACAUGCCUCUCCCACGCCAACACACACCUACUUAUAACCCAACCCUGACCAGUGGGGCCACCCCCAUGGGCCACGCGUCACUAUCCACCGACAUCAGGGGGAUGCGGUGUGAGAGUCUCCAAGCCGUGCCCACCAUCGUCGCCUAGCAAACCGGGCCACCUAUGGCCGUCUCCAAGCAGCAGUCGGCACCGGAGGGCCAGCCCCGACCAAGCUACCGGGGGAGCCGAACACGGGCGCCACGGGCAGGAGCAGCGACGACUUCAGCAUUGAUGGACAUGAGUAGCGAUGAUGUUGGCCUCGACGGGCACGAACAGCACCCUCGUCGGCCGCGCAUGACUGGCCGUUGAUGCGCAUCCCCGUCAAUGCGCACUUUGACCCGUGCGUGCUCGCGGACCAGCCACCAUGGUCACCGUGUGGGUCAUGCUCGCGGACCAGCCACCAUGGUCACUGUCGACGCUCGCCAUAUCCGCUUGUGCAACGACGACACGAGCCGGAACACUUCGAGCGACUUGUCGACGGACCUUGGGAUGGAGACACCAGGGGUGACGACUGAGGAUGGGGACUCGGGUCGCCGGUGCAGGCGCUGGCCGCGACCCCGGGGCACCCCCUCACCGGCGACGAGAUAUGGCUGGCAAGCUGCUGUUCUAUCGGUCAGCUUGGGCGUGAUUGCUUUUUUGUUUUUGAUUGAAGGUUGUCCCUGCAAAACUAGAGGGACACUUUUGCAAAUCAAAAAAGUCAAUCAUCUAACGAUGUCUAUCUUCAACCGUUUCGACAUGUCAUCAUUUGUGGGACCAACCAGUCAUAAUCAUGUUUAAAACGGUCCAAACCAUCAACUACUGUUUUGCAAAAAAUAGCCUAGGAAUUAGUGUUUUUGGACACAGUUCUAUAAAAAUAUGGUUUAUGUAACCCUAGCCAUUAAUGUCAAUUUUUUUGGUAAUUAACUCAUUUUUAAUAUGUUCGGUUAGUAUCUGCAGAUAUAUCUACGAACGUCUAAGAGGCCGAAUUUACGAGUUAAUAGCCGCAGAUGCUCAUAAAGUUUCAGAUAUAAGCUACGAUCAAAUAAAUUCCGGUGGAGUUAAGAUCACUGAAAACAAGGGAACGUGGGCUCGAUGCAAAAAAAAAAAGGGAAUGUGGGCCGCGAUUUAUUGUAUGGUACCGCUGCUUUUAUACGAUGGAGGCGUACAACUCAAGCGAGUACAAAUGCCAUCGGCGCAUCAAACCCUUUUGUCGGCUUGUCUCGCGCACCGCCAGCUUGCCUAUGGACCCUGUUCAGUAAUACAACAUGCAUGUGAGGAAUUGCUCAUAAAUUCCUGGGUGAAACAUCACGUGGAUUUGCUAAGUUGCUGACACGCCGUCUAAAUCUAAAGGAUAGCUUCUCAGCUCUGAUGGAUCUUCCUGCGGUGGAUUUCCAUGUAUACUUUUUUUCUGAGAACUUUUCAUGGGUUACUGCAAUUUCACGUUUAUUGCCAUCAUGUGAAUUUCAGGCACAGCCGGACUCCGGCGACUUAAAAAUGAGCCGUGCCAUGCGGGCAGCCAAGCUCCACAACAUUGAAGCCAGGUUAUCUUCAGGGCAUCUGCAUGGAUCUAUAUGUGGUCAUUACUUAGUCACGUAAAAAUCAAGAAACGUACGAUUUUUAGAUGCAACCAUUGAAAAACAGUGACAUAGGGUAUGUAAAACCGAUUUAGAUGACGGUUCAACAACAUGAAAAUGUGUAGGCAUCUUUUGUUGUUGUUGCGUAAAGUGGAGGCAUCUUGUCUUAUUUUGUCGGCCAUGGCCAUUUGUUUUAUGAUUCGCUUUUGCUCGUAUAUCUAAGAUGAGUUAUGCAUUUUAUUGAUAUCAAUACCAAUAAAAUGACUAUAUGCAUCAUCUGAUGCAGAGCUCGGGGAUAAUCCUCCUUUUCAAAGGAAGAAACUCUUUUAGAUCGGCGCAAACAAAGAGUAGAGUAGAACUAGUAGAACGAAAAGACGGAACAUUCUCUUUUCAGAUUGUUAUUUUUUUAGAAACUCUUUAGAUUGCCUUGUAAAGCAGGCCAGCCAAUGAGCCUAGCUACUGGUCCAAUCAUUACUCCAACCCAAAUAAAUUCAUCCGUUAUAUCAAAUAGCUCGAUACCUACUAUAGCCCUCGCCUAUAUGGGGCGUUCUGAAGCGCUGAAGUGGGACCGGUUCAUAGAACCUUCCACCCGGUUUUGGGAAGGUUCUACGGGUGGCUGGGGGUGGGGGGCUUUGUGUUUAGUUCUAUAGAUUUUUGUUAAAAUAGUUUUAAUGUUAGGAAUUUUUAUCUUUUUUGUUUACUUUUUAAAAAAUAUAUGUAGCAUACAUGUUCAACAUUUUUCAAUCAAUGUUGAGUAUUUUUUUGAAUAAGUUUGAGCAUUUUUUGAUACACAUUGAACAUAUUUUACGAGUGAACCUUUUUAAACACAUUCUGAACUAAUUUAAAAUAUCAUGAACAUUUUUAUAGAACAUUAUAACAUUUAUUAACUGUUAGAAAAAAUGUCACAUACAUCGUUUAUACGUUAUGAUCAUUUUUUAAAAAUUGUGUAAUCACUUUUUUUCAUUUCAUGAUGUUUAUUUAAAAUUUCACAAAUUAAUACUCCCUCCGUCCUAAAAUAAGUGUCCCAAGUUUAGUACAACUUUGUACUAAAGUUAGUACAAAGUUAAGACACUUAUUUUGAGACGGAGGGAGUAUAUAUUUAGCACACAUUAACAUUUAAUGUCAUGAGACAAUUUUUGCAUGUUACGAACAUUUUUUUUGAAAGUAAGCAAACACAAGUUUACAUUCUCAUGAACAAUUUCUAAACUUUCAUGAAGAAUUUUUAAAUAUUUCAACAUUCUUUAAAUAUCACAAACAAAUGUUUGAAUGGUAUGACAUUAUUAAAAAGUUUACAAACAAGUUUAUUUACACUGCAUUAAUUAAAAUGUAAGGUGAAUGCUUUUGAGAAUUAAGUAAUGUAUUAUUUGAUCUAUAUUUCUAAACAUAAACAAAAAAGAAAAAAAAAGCAUAUAACAAACUAACAAACGAAAGAGCAAUAAAAAUGCGGGAAUAGAAAAGUGUGUGAAUAGAAAAAUGUGGGAAUAGAAAAAUCUAUUUAUAUCUAUUAGUAUAUGCGUGAUUUAAUUUGUUUGAGUGCAAUAAAACAAGGUUUUUUUCAUGAAGUUUGAGUGGUUGUUCAUUUUUGUAUAGGAUGUAUUCUCUCCGUCCACAAUGCAGUGCAUAUACAUUUUUUAAGUCAAAAUUUACAAACUUUGAUCAAGUUUGUAGAGAAAAACGUGUACAUCUAGAAUGCCAAAUACAUAUCAAUAGGUUCUUCAUAAGAUUUAUUUUCAUAUUAUAUAUAUUUGGUAUUAUAGAUAUAAAUUGUUUUCUCUACAAUUUGAUCAAAAUUCGUAAAGUUUGACUUUCGAAAUAUCUAUAUACACCAUAUAGGGAGUAGUGUAAAGUAAUCAUUGAGAAAGAUCAUGCAGGAUUCAAUCUUAAGAAUCAAAACAUAGAGAAUCGAAAAAAUCUAGAUGAUUCUAUUCCAUCAGAGUUUUUAGAAUCAAACGGGGCCUCAAUGACAACUAGGAUUUUUAUCUCGUUAUUAAUUUUUGUUUUGUUUUGUGUCUUCACAAAAAGUUACUUUCGCUUUUAAUGUAUUCCAUCUGUUGGUGCUUCGUUGGGUUAUUAUUCCUUGAUGGUGAAGCCAUGAUCAUAGAAGAUAAAAUGAUUAAAAGAUAUGCAUAUGUCAUCACAUCUUCUAACAUUGACCACUUGAUGACCUCACAACUUUGAAAAGACCAUAUGGCAACUUAGAUGUGAUUAUAAUAAAUUACUUAAUUAAAAAAAUUAGAUAUACAUGAAGUAGUGUCAACAAGGAAGCAAUAGGUCAUAGUUAUCAACAAGCAACAUCUAGUGGCAACAACAAAACAAGAAGGGUUUCUCUGAGAUGUUGAAUUGAUUUCUCCAUGAUUUUAAUUUAACUCUUCCCUCGUGCUCGUUAGUUGCUUUCGUUGAGAUCUUUUCGAUGUCAUUGUCCCCAUCUUGUGUGUCACCCGCUCUUGUUUGCCCAAGUAUUGACUGACACAAUGUUGUUGCCAAUGUUUGAGAUAAACCAAAGUCGAAACUUAAAACCCCAAUGAAAUCCUACAAAUAAGAAACACACAAGUUUGGGAAUGAAAUUACCGAAUGAAACAAAUGCAACCAACAAUAGCAUACCGCAAUAAUGACAUAAUCACCUCAAUUGACGCCACAAAGAAUUAUCGAGACAACUGUGAUUGUCCGAUCGAACAUGAGAGAUUAGAUGUCAUCUACCAGGGAAUAUUUGUGUAACAAAACAACUGAAAUGACGCCACAUAGGCCAAAACGACAGUAAAACUAGUGUUAUGGCGAUCAAUAAUCCAGUUCUACAGGUUGGGAUGUCAAUUUUACCAAAAAUAUGUUAGUAGAAAAAUGUGUCACGGGCCUAUAGUUGUAUUCAAGGGUCAAAUGAAAACGUCUCCUCUUGUUAGUCAAAUAAAAUGAUAAAUUCCUAUUUUUCACCCAUUGCGGAGAAUGUAGGAGCAAGAUGACCCCUCAAGAUCAUACAGGUUGGCUCACUAGCGUUGUGUUUUACUGAAUUUUUUCUAGAUUUUUCCUCUUCUUUUGAUUAACUAAGAAUUCAUUGGUUCAUAUUUGUAUUUCCAUCGCCUUUAUUUUUUACAUGCAUGAACACCACUAUUAAGAAAAAAUGAGGAAAAAAAUCCGUAUGCAUGAGUUCUUUUUCAAGAUGUACAUAUUUGUUGAAAUGCAUGAAUUUUUAUUUUCGUACGCACGAGUAAUUCUAGAAAAUGUAUUCCGUAUGCAUGAGUAUUUCCAGAAAAAGGUCAUACUUUUCUAUGAUAGAACAAUUUAUAUUUGAUUAGUUACUUAUGGAAUGUAUGAAUAUUUUUCAAUGCUAAUGUUUUAUAAAAUAAUCAUGUAACACUAACCCCAUGUAACCUCCAUUGUACACCAUUAUCCCCGAUUAUUUAAUUAAAAAUGACACUGUACAGGGCCUUCCCUAUGUUUUUGGUUAAAAAUCAGUUUGUAAAUAGUGUAUUGUUAUUUUUGGAUAAUAUUUACAUAUGAAGAUUUAUAUCCUACAUAGAAAACGGGGUAAUUGGCCGCAGAACAACCGAGCAUACCAUAGUAAGCAGCCUCCAAGGCGAGAUACACACGUUUCGGCGAGCACCGAAAUCACUAAGGGAGUACUCCUUUUAAAGAUCACUUCCACUUUCUUAGGUUGCGACAAGUGGUGUACUGCAUGCGUGUCACUUGUCGCAACCUGAGAGUUUUCCCUUUUUCGUAGAUUUGUAUUUUUAAAACGUUUUAUCUCUUAAAUUGUGCAUCCAAAUCUCGAAUCGUUUUCAUCAUUGAAUUUCUCGCAUUGAUAUCUUCAAAACUAGAUCUCAUGUUGAUAGGUUUUGAUGAACUUGUUUUCACAAAAAAAAAACGGAUCAAAAAAACUGUUCCUCUCACGAUAGGAAAAAACCCCAGAAAACACGUUCUUUUCCUUUCCGACAGGCACGACCAUGCUUCUCAUGAAGACAAAACCGUGCAUCCCGUUAAAACAAAACCAUGCCUCUCGCAAAAAAAAAUAUUUUCUCUUUUCGAGAGGCACGGGUGCCUCUCACGAAGGCAAAAGUAUGCCUCUUGCACAAAAAAAAUCAUGCCUCUCAUGAAAAAAAUAGGAAAUGUGUUAUUUUUUCCCUUUCCCAGAGGCUCGGUCGUGCCUCUCGCGAAGAAUUGUGCCUCUCGAGAAACCAAAACCGUGUCUCUUGCAAUUUUUUUUUCUGUUUUCAAGAGGCACGACCGUUCCUUUUGCGAAGGCAAAUCCGUGCCUCUCCCAAAAAUAACAGAAAACAUAUUUUUUACGACUUUUUUAAAAUUUUCCCGUCAAAAAACUAAGAAAGACCAAUGAAAAACCGAAAUACCAAAAAAUCAAAAAAUAAUCUAAAAAGCCGAAAACGCGUGCGAUUUUUUUUUAAAGAAAGCACUCAGAGCGUGACAUGUGACGAUGACGGAGAACACACCAAAUGACGACGCGUGGGAGCGCACGCUAACUAGUGACUCCCGGCUCAUCGAUCGUGGCCCAGCCGCCAACCCGGCCGAAGCGGAAGCCCUCUAUUUGAUGGGCCUUUUGGUUGGUCCAGGAGCCGAUUGAAUCUCCCCUAAGAAAAAAAAAGGAGCCGAUCGAAUCCCUACGUGCACGAUUUUUUUUAUUUUUUUGAAUCCCUACGUGCACGAUUUGUGCAUCCUUAAUUUCGACCGGUGGAUGCGUUAAUUGUGCCGUCAGCUUCAUAUAGGUCACCCAUGCACGUACAGCCCCUCCACCUCCACCUGCUCUCGUUGGGUCCGUGCUGGACUUGCAAGUUCGGCGCCGCCCAAGUCAAUGCUUGCACGGCAGCGGUUCAUCGAAUGCCACCUUAAAAGUUAGGCCAGGACAAUGCGAAGGACAUCCUAAAGUUAAUGCUUGCUUACUAAUUAAGGGAGCGUGUACUACUAGGAAAUAGUUGCCUGAAAACAACAUUUUGGUCGAUCUUCUCUAAACCAUUCUGGACUAAAAUCCAAUAUCCAAUCCAACGCCUGGCACAAUGAAUUCCUUUCGAAUCGUCAUAUUUUAAAAGAAUUCCAGCUGCCUGAUGAAAGCCAACGCGUUUUACUUAUGUACCGAUGGCCGGGCUCACGGUGACACCGUAGCGUCUCGCUAGCUACAGAUCAGCCGUAAAAGAGUUCAAGUGCCAUUUAGUAUCGUUCUCUCGGUUGACAGAUAACUAGAUACACAACCAGACCAGCACAUGCCCCCAGCGUUUUGAUAAAUGCGUGGCCCUCCAGUACAGUCAGCAGCUGCAUGCAGAUGUUUUGGCCCAUGUAUGUAUCCACGAUCCAUAUCCAUAAUUGACAGGAUAUUUCCAAGCCAGCUUAGGCUCAUCGAUCACGGUCUCGGUAAACACAAAACAGGCACACCCCGCCGUACACGGCGGUGACUGCAGCAGGCCCAGGCCCUCGUCACACCCUCAGCCUGCAUCUUCAUACACCAGGCGCCUGCUUAAUCAUAAAAGAAAAGCCUCUAGCUCGAGACCGUACCUCUGUCGGGCGACCUAUACGUACAUGUCAGCAGGGACCAAGCGCGCGGGCGCUAGCAACAGAUUAACCACACAAGUUUUCACCGGCCAGCCCGUUCAACAGACCAGCGCCAAUGGCCAUGCACGUACGCACGCACGUACGUACCCUGGGAGGGAGGCUGGGACCCAGGCCACCCGGCUAGCAUCGAGGGGGCCAAAUUAACAAACAACGUUGGGUGAUACAGAUCGCGCGACAUGGUCCAGCCACGGCGCAGGCGUGGCGACACGCGCCAUUGAUCGCCGGUCGCGCAGACAAGCGGCCAGCGAUCCAGAGACGUGCAUGCAUGGGUCCAGCGAUGGCCGCAGAAACGGUCUCUCCCGGUCAUCUGCAUGCAUGCAUGCAUGCAUGGCUCGCUACGUAGCGCAUCGCAGCGCGGGAGCGCGCCCUGUCCGUCCCUUGGCACCACCGGCCCGCCGGCCACCGGGCCACGGGCGGCUUGGCAGGCAUGGCAUGGCAUGCCAGCGAGGGGCCGAGCUCGACAUGCACGCACAGAACCGAUGGAUGGACGGAUCGAGAGCACGUACGUAGGGUGGCACUAGCUAGGGUGGUCGUGUAGGCGUACGUGGUGGUGGUGGGGGUGUGCUGCGUCCGUGCAGCUGGGCCGCGGCUCUCACAGGUCGCCAUCGGGGCACUGGCGCCAGAUCUGGACCGGCCGGGGACAGGGAAAGGGAAAUAAUGCGGGGCGGCUUUCCUUUCCUUUCCUCCGCUGGCGCUGGCGCUGGCGCUGCCGCUGCCGCUGGGCGCGUCGGUGCCCACUUUCCCUUUCGGGAAGGUCGGGCUGGCCGUGAACAGGGCCGACGAGCGGCGCCACCUCCCCUCCUCCGCCCCAAUCCACGUACCUACAGCCACCACACAAAGGGAUCGUCGACAAUCACCUAUAGUAUGCUACCUAGCUACUACCUAGCCUAGCCUAGCCUAUCUAGGAGUAGCAUGCUAUGCCUAUGGCUAUGGCCUAUGGAGGCUAGCCAAGGUAGGUGCGUCGGUCAGUAACGUCGCCGGUGUACUACGUUCGUGCAUGCAUGUAUAGUGCUCCGGCAUGCGCCCACCUUUGUGGUUUCCCUUUCCUUCGCCCAUGUAGCUUGUCGUAAUUGGCCACGCCUACGCCCGUGCUUCCGGCUGACGGAACCACCCAUGCCGAGUAAAAGGCUUGCUUGCUUGCUUGCUGGGGAAAGGGAGACGAUGAUCCGUAUUCGCUACGUGCAUGCAUACAUGGUUUGCACGCAUCGGCUUUGUUCCAUCGACCAGACCGGCCAUGCGCCCGGUGACUUUUUUUGCCUGUUGUACGCAGGGUUUCGGCUUGGCGUGUCGCUGCGUACGUUGGAGGGAUCAGGCCGGCUGGCUACCUAUCGAUCAAAGGGCGUGCACGCUCGGGCCUACGCGCACGAUGAACUGCUCCAAAGCACAGGCACGAGGAUCGACAGGAACGUACUGCUACGUCAGAGAGAGAGAGAGAGAGAGAGAGAGAGAGAGACGAAGACCCUUUGGAGUACUGCUGGCUAGUAGGUAGCCAGUGUCCCGUCGGUCGAUCGAGUGGCGGAAGCAUCGAUAGUGCUGCUCGUGGCUGUAUCCUUUCGCCAGUCGGCCGGGAAAAGCCGAUGGAAUCCACAGUGCGCUGCGCAUGCACUCUCACGACAGCUAGCGUGGGCUCUCGGCUCGAGCGCGCGCACCAGACGCACGCAUGCAUGCAGCGACGGCCCGGCCCGGCCACGCACGCUCGCACGUACAUGCAUGCUUGCCCAGCCCCGGCAGCGCCAUGCGUUUUGACCAUGGCACGUACCAUUCGCGUGCAUGGGGUAAAUUAGCUUCAACAAUUGUACUUUGUUGCCUUGGAUCCUUGUAUAAUUCCGACCCAACUUCAAAGACCAGCUGUCCGUGUUUGUACUACGUGCAUCGGCGCGGAACGCGAUGGACAACAUUCGACAAGCAUGCCAUGCGUGUGGGCCUGGCCAAAGGACGUAGCCCGUGAUAGUUAACACAAGACAGCCAUAUCCGGCGGCACGGUCACGGCAGCGUUCCUCCAUCCAACCAACCGUUUGCUCGCAAGUACCAGACUGCAUGCCAGGCCAGGGCCGGCCAUGAAUCAUGAUGCCUGCCCGUUCGACCAGCGUUAGUGACCAAUAAGAGAGGUCGGCACGCACGUACGGGCGUUAAUGAUUUUUCGCGGUUCUUUCUUCCUCCAUGCAUGCAUGCUGUUCCGCGAUAGUUAAAUGGGGCAGUAGAAUUCAUGUGCACCGCGGCCUGCGCGCUGCGGUCCUGUCUACAUAGCUUACACGAGAAAAGCUAAAAGACCUGUGGAGGUAGGUCAUCAAGUGCUUGCAUGCGCUGAUAUGUUGGACGGUUGCUUCCCUUCGACGUCCCUACUAAAAAUGAUGCAUGCCAUCCGCUGCAACGCAGACACACACACAACCUCCUAAUCGUCCACGACCCGUCGCUGUCCACGUUGUCCAUCAGAAUCAGCUCCAGUGUUUCAGCGCGCGCGCGACUGCCACAAGUAGUAGGAGAGGCGUCCCUGCGGGCUGCGGCCUGCGGUGGCUGUUACUGCUAGACCAGCGCGGAAUCUAGCCACACGAUCAAGCUGAAACGUCGCACGUAGUACGCGUAGUAGGACGACGCCCAUGAGCUGAUGGAGAAACGGGCGGAGAGAUCGGUGUGGACUGUCACCGAGAGAGAACGGUCAGGGGGUGUGUGUGAUGGGCGACACCAGUUUACUUGGCUACAGCAAUGGUGGUUGGUCGCAUGCAUGAUGGCAACAGAGAGGCUGCCGUGACAGAGCCGACGAUGAUUUUCGUUUUUCUUUAGGGGAGAGCGCCGACGAUGAUUUUCCUUUUUUUUUGGGGGGGNNNNNNNNNNNNNNNNNNNNNNNNNNNNNNNNNNNNNNNNNNNNNNNNNNNNNNNNNNNNNNNNNNNNNNNNNNNNNNNNNNNNNNNNNNNNNNNNNNNNGGCCUCUGGGGGCGCUGGAGGUCAACGCGGUGAGGCCUACGAAGGGUCACGAUGAACGGGCGGUUGCAGCGUCGCCGUUCUCCUCUGCAGGCUCAUGGUGGCGCAGCAGGGAGCCGAUAGAGGGGCCGCAGGCUCCGGUGACGGCUGGACCUGGGGCGGGGGGCGAGGGCGGCUACCAGAUCUGGCCGGAUCCAUGCACGGGAGGUCAAAUCCCGGCGGCAGCGCGAGCACAGGAGGAGGACGGCCAUGGUGGCGGUUGGCGGCGGGUGACGCGAGCGCUCGGGAAACCGGCUGCUCCGGCGAGCCUCUCCGGCCGGGUGUCGCUCCGGCGGCUGGAGGCAAGGGGGCACGGGGAGGUGCUCCGGCGGCAGCGCAACACGGCGGCGGGACGAGGCCGCGGGAUCUGGAGCAGAUCGGGGGCGGCGGCNNNNNNNNNNNNNNNNNNNNNNNNNNNNNNNNNNNNNNNNNNNNNNNNNNNNNNNNNNNNNNNNNNNNNNNNNNNNNNNNNNNNNNNNNNNNNNNNNNNNNNNNNNNNNNNNNNNNNNNNNNNNNNNNNNNNNNNNNNNNNNNNNNNNNNNNNNNNNNNNNNNNNNNNNNNNNNNNNNNNNNNNACGCUAGGGUUUCGAAUUUGCACGGAUUUUGAGGCAGGAUUAGGGGAGGCCUAAAAAUGGAAGGGGAGGUGUGUUUAAAUAGGAAAGGGGGGGGGCUAGGUUUAGCGAAAUUUCGACCCGGAUUCAACCUUGGGGUCGGAUUCGGACGAUUCCGAACGCGGUAUGGGUACGCGGCCGUGUGGAGGGAAUAACCGGAGAUGAGAGGGAGAACAGGCGGCGCGGCACAAAUUUUAAAACACCGACAGACGUCCAACGGUAGACCGAAUACGGUGCCGCUACGGUCGACCGUUCGGGUACCAGACGGACUCCGAUCGCGACGAAAUUCGACAGGCGGCCUAGCUAUAUUAAAAUAAAACCGCAUGUCAAAUCUCAACCCGAUCAGAGAAAGUUUUACGCAGACUUUAAAAACAGGGUUUCGACGAUGCCGCGGGCGCGUGCGUGUGCGGUCGAACUCACAACGGACAACGACGAGAACCGGCAACUUCUAACGGACGCAAGUUUUUUGAACACGGGCGGCAACGAGAUGCCGAUGCAAUGCUGAUGAUGCGCAUGAUGCGAUGAUGAUGCGACAAAAGAAAAUAGACGCACGAUGAAAACGGAAAGAAGGGGGAAUCUUCUGGAACGUCGGCAUCGGGCUGUCACAAUGGUGUCCUCCGUAGGCUUCGGAAUGACACUUCUGCAGGAUCUGUCCCUGUUCAUUUUCAGGCACACAACGUCUAAUAACACCAUCUACUCCUUCCUUAUAAAGGUGAUGAUCAUCCCGAAAGUAGUGUCUCAAAUCAAAGAAGAAUUUCUUCUUUUGUUGAUAGGUGAAACUGGGUGGUAUGUAUUUGGCUAUGAUAUAGUUUGCAUAAUCGGCAUACCACGGUGCACUAAGUGAAGUGCGGAUGACAUUUAAUUGCUCAUGAGGAAAGCUGUCAUCAAUAUGUAGUGGGUCAUCAAGAACAUUCUCUAGCCUAAACAAGUUAUCUGCUAUAGGGUUAUCAGCACCCUUUCGGUCAACGACGUGCAAAUCAAAUUCCUGUAGCAGGAGAACCCAUCUGAUCAGCCUAGGCUUAGCGUCCUUCUUCUCCAUGAGGUACUUAAUAGCAGCAUGAUCAGAGUGAAUAGUGACUUUGGAGUCAAUUAUGUAAGACCUGAACUUUUCACAUGCAAACACGACUGCUAAAAAUUCCUUCUCCGUAGUGGCAUAGUUUCUUUGGGCACUGUCUAGAGUUUUACUAGCGUAGUGAAUGACAUUCAACCUCUUGUCAACUCUUUGUCCUAGAACAACACCAACAACAUAAUCACAAGUGUCACACAUGAUUUCAAAGGGCAAGUUCCAGUCAGGUGGUUGAACAAUAGGUGCAGUUAUCAAAGCCUUCUUAAGUAUUUCAAAGGCUUCCUCACAAUCCUCAUCAAAAACAAAUGGAACAUCCUUCUGCAAGAGGUUGGUAAGAGGCCUAGAAAUCUUAGAGAAGUCUUUAAUGAACCUUCUAUAGAAACCAACAUGACCUAGGAAACUUCGUAUACCUCUGAUAUCUGUGGGGCAAGGCAUUUUCUCAAUUGCAUCAACCUUAGCCUUAUCAACUUCAAUGCCUCUUUCAGAGAUUUUGUGUCCUAAGACGAUACCUUCAUUAACCAUAAAAUGGCACUUCUCCCAAUUCAAGACGAAGUUGGUUUCUUCGCAUCUCUGUAAGACUCGAUCAAGGUUGCUGAGGCAAUCAUCAAAGGAAGACCCAUAAGUGGAGAAGUCAUCCAUGAAAACCUCGACGAUCUUUUCACAAAAGUCAGAGAAUAUAGCCAUCAUACAUCUUUGGAAGGUGGCAGGUGCAUUACAUAAUCCAAAAGGCAUACGUUUAUAGGCAAAGGUACCGAAAGGGGAGGUGAAAGUGGUUUUCUCUUGAUCAGAUUGUGCAACAGGUAUUUGCGAGAAACCUGAAUAACCAUCUAGAAAGCAGAAGUGUGUGUGCUUUGAUAGCCUUUCUAGCAUUUGGUCGAUGAACGACAAAGGAUAAUGAUCUUUCCUGGUUGCCUUGUUCAGUUUCCGGAAGUCUAUCACCAUUCUAUAGCCGGUAAUAAUCCUUUGUGGGAUUAGUUCAUUCUUAUCAUUAGGAACGACGGUGAUACCUCCCUUCUUAGGUAUGCAAUGUACUGGACUUACCCAAUCACUAUGAGCAACAUGAUAAAUGAUUCCUGCUUCCACAAGCUUUAAUAGUUCUUUUCUAACGACCUCUUUCAUCUUAGGAUUUAAUCCCCUUUGAUGAUCAGCAACUGGUUUAAAGUUAGGAUCGGUUUUAAUCUUGUGCUGACAUAGAGUAGGACUAAUACCCUUAAGAUCAUCAAGAGUAUAUCCAAUAGCAACGCAGUGCUUCCUCAGAGUUUUUAGUAACUUCUUGUCUUUGCGCUGUGAGAGGAGAGCACUCAUAAUGACAGGAUAUAUCUCCUUCUCAUCAAGAUAGGCAUACUUAAGAGUAUCAGGCAAGUGUUUAAGCUCGAGCACAGGAUCACCCUUUGGUGGGGGAGGAUCCCCAAGCAGUUCAAUAAGCAGAUUAUUCUUCAGAAUAGGAUUUUAUUCUAAAACAAUUUUAUCUAUCUCAUCUCUCUCCUCCAUAUGCAUAUCAUUUUCAUGCUCAAGUAGAUAUUGCUCUAAGGGAUCCGUAGGAGGUACGUCAAUAGAGGCAAGAGCAAUGAUUUCAUCCCUACCAGAGGACUCUCUCUCAUGGGAUUGUCUUCCAAACUUGGAGAAGUUAAAUUCAUGAGAUACAACCUCGAAACUUACUGUGACAGUCUGCUUAAUGCAAUCAAUGUGAGCAUUGACAGUGUUGAGAAAGGGUCUACCAAAUAUGAUGGGACAAAAGCUAUCUUGUGAAGUACCAAGGACGAGGAAAUCAGUAGGAUACUUCGUCUUACCACACAGGACUUCUACGUCUCUCACAAUUCCCAGAGGGCAGAUAGUGUCUCUAUUAGCUAGCGUAAUAGUGACAUCAAUGUGUUCUAACUCAGCAGGUGCAAUCUCAUCUUUGAUUUCAUCAUAUAGAGAACGGGGUAUUGCACUAACACUAGCUCCCAUAUCACAUAAACCAUGGUAACAGUGAUCUCCUAUCUUAACAGAAACAACGGACAGGCCAACUAUAGGUCCGUGUUUGUCUUCCGCGUGAGGUUUAGAAAUUCUAGCGGAGUCCUCACAGAAUUUGAUAACAUGCCCAUCUAUGUCUUCGGCUAAGAGAUCUUUGAUAAUAGCAACACUAGGUUCAAUUUAAUCUCUUCAGGGGGUGUAAGUGGUCUAAUGUAACCCCUACGUAUCACAGUUGGAGCUUUUGAAUAAUCCUUUAUCCUAGCAGGGUAUGGUGGUUUCUUAGUGUAAGCACAAGGAACAACAGGAUCACUAAAAGCAAUGACUUUCUCCUCAACUAGAUUGGUUUUGGCUAUGUUGCUUUCUACAGGAGGAUGAUAUUUAAACCACUUCUCUUUGGGAAGAUCAACAUGAGCAACAAGGAUUCACAUAGAGAAGCUACUAUCUCAGAGUCAAGUUCAUACUUAGCGCUAAAAUCUCUAGAAGUGUUUGUCUCAACAAAAGAUUUAAUGCAAUCAAACUGGAAAUUCAUACCCGACUCCUUACCUUCCUCCAGCUCCCAAUCUUCAGAGUUGCGUUUGAUUCUCUCCAAUAAAUUCCAUUUGUGAUCAAUAUCCUUCUUCAUAAAAGAACCAACACAAGAAGUGUCAAGCAUGGUACGAUCUUCAUGAGAAAGCCGAGCAUAAAAGUUUUGAGUGAUGAUUUCUCUCGAGAGCUCAUGAUUGGGGCAUGAAUAUAGCAUUGAUUUAAGCCUCCCCCAAGCUUGAGCUAUGAUUUCCCUGUCACGAGGCCAAAAGUUAUAAAUAAAGUUCUGAUCACGAUGUACUAAAUGCAUAGGAUAGAACUUUUGAUGAAAUUCCAAUUUCAACCGAUUGUAGCCCCAUGAUCCAGUAUCAUCACAUAGCCUAUACCAUGUCAACGCCUUAUCCUUCAAAGAUAAAGGAAAGACUUUCUUCUUUACCUCAUCCUCGGGCAAACCUGCAAGCUUAAAUAAACCACAAACUUCAUCAACAAAGAUCAGAUGCAAGUCUGGAUGUGAAGAUCCAUCUCAUGUGAAAGGAUUAGCCAACAGUUUCUCAAGCAUACACGAAGGAAUUUCAUAUAAGAUAUUUUCAGUAGGUACCUCAGGUUGAGGAGCAACUCGUCGUGCUUCCGUUCGUGGUGAAGAUACCCCAAACAAACUCCUCAAAGGAAAGUUUCCAUAGUGACAAGUGACAAUAAAUUUCAGCACAGUAUAUAAAUGUUUCCUUACCAAUUUCCACUUACCAAAGGCGCUUCACACCUCGGCAACGGCGCCAGAAAAGAGUCUUGAUGACCCACAAGUAUAGGGGAUCAAUCGCAGUCCUUUCGAUAAGUAAGAGUGUCGAACCCAACGAGGAGCAGAGUGCUCUGAUAAACGGAUUUCAGCAAGGUAAUAACUGCAAGCACUAAAAGUAGCGGUAACAAGUGAUUGUGUAGCGAGGUGAAACGUAGCAAGCAAAAAGUAACAAGUAACAAGUAGUAGCAACGGUGCAGAAAGUGGCCCAGUCCCUUUUGUAGCAAGGGACAAGCCUGAACAAAGUCUUAUAGGAGGACAAACGCUCCCGAGGAUACACGGGAAUUUCUCUCAUGCUAGUUUCAUCAUGUUCAUAUGAUUCGCGUUCGUUACUUUGAUAGUUUGAUAUGUGGAUGGACUCGCGCUUGGGUACUGCCCUUACUUGGACAAGCAUCCCACUUAUGAUUAACCUCUCUCGCAAGCAUCCGCAACUAAAAAAGAAGAAUUAAGACAAAGUCUAACCAUAGCAUUAAACUAGUGGAUCCAAAUCAUCCCCUCACGAAGCAACGCAUAGACUGGGGUUUAAGCUUCUGUCACUCCAGCAACCCAUCAUCUACUUACUACUUCCCAAUGCCUUCCUCUAGGCCCAAAUAUGGUGAAGUGUUAUGUAGUCGACGUUCACGUAACACCACUAGAGGAAAAGACAACAUACAACAUAUCAAAAUAUCGAACGAAUAUCAAAUUCACAUGACUAUUAUUAACAUGACUUAUCCCAUGUCCUCAGGAACAAAAGUAACUAAUCACAAAACAUAAUCAUAUUCAUGAUCAGAGGUGUAAUGAAUAGCAUCAAGGAUCUGAACAUAAACUCUUCCACCAAGUAAUCCAACUAGCAUCAACUACAAAGAGUAAUCAACACUACUAGCAACCUUACAAGUACCAAUCGGAGUUGCGAGACGAAGAUUGGUUACAAGAGAUGAACUAGGCAUUCGAGAGGAGAUGGUGCUGAUGAAGAUGUUGAUGAAGAUGCCUCCCCUCCGACGAGAGGAAUGUUGGUGAUGACGAUGGCGACGAUUCCCCCUCCGGGAGGGAAGUUUCCCCGGCAGGAUCGUUCUGCCGGAGCUCUAGAUUGGAUCUGCUCAAGUUUCGCCUCGUGGCGGCGGCGAAACCACGAAAAAGCUCCCGAUUGAUUUUUUCUGGACCAGAACCCUUCAUAUAGCAAAAGGGGGGAGCUAGUGGGCCCCCAGGCAGCCCACAAGCUUGCCCUGCGCCACCAGGGGGUGGUGGUGGAGUGGGGGCUUGUGGAGCCCUAGUGGCCCCCCUCCGGUAGUUCUUUCGCCCAAUAUUUUUUAUAUAUUCCCAAAAAAUUCCACAUAAAUUUUCAGGGCAUUUGGAGAUGUGCAGAAUAGUGGACUAGGAUUUCCUCCUUUUCAAGUCCAGAAUUCCAGCUGCCUGAAUUCUCCCUCUUCAAAUAAACCUUGNNNNNNNNNNNNNNNNNNNNNNNNNNNNNNNNNNNNNNNNNNNNNNNNNNNNNNNNNNNNNNNNNNNNNNNNNNNNNNNNNNNNNNNNNNNNNNNNNNNNUUGUUUUCAGUUAUUUCCCUGCAUUUACUUAUAUGAUAUAUAUAAUUUCCAACAUCACAUGUUGAUUCAGACAUCAUAGAAUAAGCAUAGGCCAUGUAUCCAACAUCAUCGUGAAAAUAUUGAGAAAGGCAACUAUUUUUUUA